rnacentral:misc_RNA from 1 species
CUGAGAAAGGCGUCCGCGCCGACCUCAAACCAAUGCGUACCCAAUCUUGUCUCUUGCGGGGUCCGCCCCGCGAGGAACCAAAACAGUCGUCUGAUGUUGUCAGAAACUCUUAAAAGAAAAA